rnacentral:rRNA from 1 species
UACAGAGGGAGCAAGCGUUGUUCGGAAUUACUGGGCGUAAAGCGCACGUAGGCGGACUAUUAAGUCAGGGGUGAAAUCCCGGGGCUCAACCCCGGAACUGCCUUUGAUACUGGUAGUCUCGAGUCCGGAAGAGGUGAGUGGAAUUCCGAGUGUAGAGGUGAAAUUCGUAGAUAUUCGGAGGAACACCAGUGGCGAAGGCGGCUCACUGGUCCGGUACUGACGCUGAGGUGCGAAAGCGUGGGGAGCAAACAGG